UACGGGGGGAGCAAGCGUUGUUCGGAUUUACUGGGCGUAAAGGGCGCGUAUGCGGGUCUUUAAGUCAGGGGUGAAAUCCUGGAGCUCAACUCCAGAACUGCCUUUGAUACUGAAGAUCUUGAGUUCGGGAGAGGUGAGUGGAACUGCGAGUGUAGAGGUGAAAUUCGUAGAUAUUCGCAAGAACACCAGUGGCGAAGGCGGCUCACUGGCCCGAUACUGACGCUGAGGCACGAAAGCGUGGGGAGCAAACAGG
rnacentral:rRNA from 1 species